rnacentral:rRNA from 1 species
UGAGCAACCUGCCCUGGACUCUGGGAUAAGCGCUGGAAACGGCGUCUAAUACUGGAUAUGAGCUCCUUCCGCAUGGUGGGGGUUGGAAAGAUUUUUCGGUCUGGGAUGGGCUCGCGGCCUAUCAGCUUGUUGGUGAGGUAAUGGCUCACCAAGGCGUCGACGGGUAGCCGGCCUGAGAGGGUGACCGGCCACACUGGGACUGAGACACGGCCCAGACUCCUACGGGAGGCAGCAGUGGGGAAUAUUGCACAAUGGGCGGAAGCCUGAUGCAGCAACGCCGCGUGAGGGAUGACGGCCUUCGGGUUGUAAACCUCUUUUAGCAGGGAAGAAGCGAAAGUGACGGUACCUGCAGAAAAAGCGCCGGCUAACUACGUGCCAGCAGCCGCGGUAAUACGUAGGGCGCAAGCGUUAUCCGGAAUUAUUGGGCGUAAAGAGCUCGUAGGCGGUUUGUCGCGUCUGCUGUGAAAUCCCGAGGCUCAACCUCGGGCCUGCAGUGGGUACGGGCAGACUAGAGUGCGGUAGGGGAGAUUGGAAUUCCUGGUGUAGCGGUGGAAUGCGCAGAUAUCAGGAGGAACACCGAUGGCGAAGGCAGAUCUCUGGGCCGUAACUGACGCUGA